UGAGGAAUAUUGCACAAUGGGCGAAAGCCUGAUGCAGCAACGCCGCGUGAGGGACGAAGGCCUUCGGGUCGUAAACCUCUUUUCUGGGGGACGAGUAAGGACGGUACUCCAGGAAUAAGUCUCGGCUAACUACGUGCCAGCAGCCGCGGUAAAACGUAGGAGGCGAGCGUUAUCCGGAUUUACUGGGCGUAAAGCGUACGCAGGUGGCUUCGUUAGUCGGACAUGAAAGCUCCUGGCUUAACUGGGAGAGGUUGUUCGAUACUGCGGGGCUUGAGGUUGGGAGGGGGAAGUGGAAAUCGCGGUGAAGUGGUGGAAUGCGUAGA
rnacentral:rRNA from 1 species